rnacentral:tRNA from 1 species
GCCUUCGUAGUGCAGUGGUCAGCACGCUCAAUGCGUAACCGAGAGGUCCGUGGUUCGAUUCCCGCGAAGACG